AUUUUAAAGAGACAAAAAAAGAAACCCCAUAAUAUCCAUGAUAUUUCAGAAACGCAUACCGUGACAUAAUUGAUCACGAUAUCAACAUUAUGUCAUCAUAUCACCCAGCCCAAAUCUGUAACGUUAACUUCAGGAUUUACAGGACGCUAAAAUUUACAUUAAUGCUGUGUGCACUUCUUUACAGGAAUCCGACAGCUUUUAUAAUGUGUUAACAUUUCUUGCGCUUCUUCCCCCCCUUCGUUUUUGUUUUCUCUGGGCUGCUUGAUGCCUCGUUUCUUUUCUGGGCCCAGAGAAAGAUAUUCACACUUACACCACUCUCCUGGACAGUCAUUAUAUAUCCGAAGAAAAAAAAUGAUUUCAGGACAAAUCACUCAGCUCUGAACUCUUGCACAGGAGGCAUGUCCCGUGCCACAGGAAUGCUGCUGCACUAUAGCCCCCGGGGCUCGCAGGACUCUCAGCAGCUCCGCAUGGAGGCGGCCGACGACAAAAAGAGGCGCCUCCUCCUGGCUCGCCGCCAUGCACAAGGCUGCCAAACUUCUGUAUGAGUCAAGGGACCAGUAAACUAACUGAUGUCAAGGCACAGGCGCUGAAGAGGAACAGGAG
ensembl:lncRNA